ACAUGAAGAAGUUAAUAAAAUAUCAAACUUUGAAUUUGAAGAUAGUAGUUAGUUCUACUCUCAUGUA
rnacentral:tRNA from 1 species